rnacentral:tRNA from 1 species
AUUAAAGUGGCAGAAAUAGUGCAGUAGAGUUAAGUUCUAUUUAUAAAAUUAACAAUUUUCUUUAAUA